ACAAAUGCAACUUCAUAAUGAACCCCAACCAUUGCAGUAUCAGCCCCAGCCACAUUUACAGCACCAGCCUCAACAUCAUCCGCAUUUUCAGCCUCACCCCCAACCACAGCUACAGUCUCAGCCCCAACCCCAACACAUUCAGCAAUCUCAACCACAACCUCAGUCCCAACCCCAACACAUUCAGCAACCUCAACCACAACCUCAGCUCCAACACAUUCAACAAUCUCAACCACAACCGCAAUUUCAGAAUCAACAUUUUCAGUACCCUGGAACAUAUCCUCCCCCACCAUGGGCUGCUACUCCCGGAUAUCCCAAUUAUCAAAACCACUUAUCUUCAACAAAUGCGUUGUCAACUCCUCAAGCCAACACACCUUACACAUCUGCU
rnacentral:lncRNA from 1 species